rnacentral:rRNA from 1 species
CCUGGUUGAUCCUGCCAGUAGCAUAUGCUUGUCUCAAAGAUUAAGCCAUGCAAGUCUAAGUACGCACGGCCAGUACUGUGAAACUGAAUGGCUCAUUAAAUCAGUUAUGGUUCCUUUGAUCACUCUCACGUUACUUGGAUAACUGUGGCAAUUCUACAACUAAUACAUGCCAACAAGUGCUGACCUCCGGGGAUGCGUGCAUUUAUCAAACCCACAACCCAUGCGCGCAUUGGUGACUAGAUAACCUCGAGCCGAUCGCUGGCCCCCUGUGGCAGCGAUGUCUCAUUCGAAUGUCUUUCGAUGGUACUUUCUGUGCCUACCAUGGUGACCACGGGUAAUGGGGAAUCAGGGUUUGAUUCCGGAGGGGGAGAGUGAGAAAUGGCUACCAUAUCCAAGGAAGGCAGCAGGCGUGCAAAUUACCCACUCCCGACUCGGGGAGGUAGUGAUGAAAAAUAACAAUGCAGGACUCUUUCGAGGCCCUGUAAUUGGAAUGAGUACACUUUAAGUCCUUGACCAGGAUUAAUUGGAGGGCAAGUCUGGUGCCAGCAGCUGUGGUAAUUCCAGCUCCAAUGUGUAUCUUAAAGUUGCUGCAGUUAAAAAGCUCACAGUUGGAUCUCAGGAUCGAGCUGACGGUAUGCCGCAAGGUGAGCUACCAUCUGUUCCAGCCCCUGCCUCUCGGCACCCCCUUGAUGCUCUUAGCUGAGUGUCCCAUGGAGUCUGAAGCGUUUACUUUGAAAAAAUUAGUGUUCAAAGCAAACCCGUUCACCUGAAUACCGCAGCUAGGAAUAAUGGAACAGGACUCUGGUUCUAUUUUGUGGGUUUUCUCUCUGACCUGGGGCCAUGAUUAAGAGGGACGGCUGGGGGCUAGAGGUGAAAUUCUUGGACCGGUGCAAGACGGACGAAAGUAAAAGCAUUUGCCAAGAAUGUUUUCAUUAAUCAAGAACGAAAGUCGGAGUUUUUAAGAUAAUCAGAUACUGUUGUAGUUCUGACCAUAAAUGAUGCCAACUAGUGAUCUGGCGGUGUUAUCCCCAUGACCCACUGGGCAGCAUCCGAGAAACCAAAGUCUUUGGGUUCCAGGGAGUAUGGUUGCAAAACUGAAACUUAAAGAAAUUGAUGGAAGGGCCCCAGCAGGAUGGGAGCCUGCGGCUUGGGAAACCUCACCCGGCCUGGACACAGAAAGGAUUGACAGAUUGAUAGCUCUUUCUCAAUUCUGUGGUUGGUGGUGCAUGGCCAUUCUUAGUUGGUGGAGCGAUUUGUCUGGUUAAUUCCAAUAACGAACGAGGUUCAGUGUCUCCUCCCUGGCUUUGACCCUGCGCAGGCUUAACCAGAUGAACCACCUGGAGGUUGUGUCAUUGGCCUUUCCCUCCCUGUCUUUGAACCGUGGCCUCCCACUUGAAACCAUGUGACUACUCUUAGCGGUCGAUCACUCGGCUCGUGUGUCAAUGAAGAACGCAGCUAGCUGCAAGAUCUAAUGUGAAUUACUGAUCAUCGACACUUCAAACGCACAUUGCGGCCCCGGGUUCCUCACAGGGCUAUGCCUGUCUGAGGGUCAACUGGCCAUCAGUUGGGGGGGGAAAGAUGCCCCGCGUGUCCUCCCCACGACUGGGGCAGUCGCAGGUACCCGAUGCCUUCGUCCCCCCAACCGUUGAGAGGUAAAUGGCUGGGGUCCACAAAGUCUGCCCGGGGAUUCAUCUCGGUGGGCAAGGGGCAGCUGCACAUUGUGGGAGGAUCCCCUCGGCGGGACCCCUCCUC